rnacentral:rRNA from 1 species
UACGUAGGGUGCGAGCGUUAAUCGGAAUGACUGGGCGUAAAGGGCGCGUAGGCGGCUUGCACCGUCAGAUGUGAAAUUCCUGGGCUUAACCUGGGGGCUGCAUUUGAUACGUGUGGGCUUGAGUGCGGAAGAGGGUCGUGGAAUUCCCAGUGUAGAGGUGAAAUUCGUAGAUAUUGGGAAGAACACCGGUGGCGAAGGCGGCGACCUGGUCCGAUACUGACGCUGAGGCGCGAAAGCGUGGGGAGCAAACAGG